rnacentral:rRNA from 1 species
GACGAACGCUGGCGGCGUGCUUAGCACAUGCAAGUCGAACGGAAAGGCCCUGCUUUUGUGGGGUGCUCGAGUGGCGAACGGGUGAGUAACACGUGAGUAACCUGCCCUUGACUUUGGGAUAACUUCAGGAAACUGGGGCUAAUACCGGAUAGGAGCUCCUGCAGCAUGGUGGGGGUUGGAAAGUUUCGGCGGUUGGGGAUGGACUCGCGGCUUAUCAGCUUGUUGGUGGGGUAGUGGCUUACCAAGGCUUUGACGGGUAGCCGGCCUGAGAGGGUGACCGGCCACAUUGGGACUGAGAUACGGCCCAGACUCCUACGGGAGGCAGCAGUGGGGAAUAUCGCACAAUGGGCGGAAGCCUGAUGCAGCAACGCCGCGUGCGGGAUGACGGCCUUCGGGUUGUAAACCGCUUUCGCCUGUGACGAAGCGUGAGUGACGGUAAUGGGUAAAGAAGCACCGGCUAACUACGUG